rfam:Schistosoma curassoni strain Dakar, Senegal genome assembly, scaffold: SCTD_scaffold0000546
AGCUUUCUGAAUCCUUGCAGAGAUUUCGUCAAACGCUAACCCAUUAGGGGUGAUCAGACUUUCGAGAUAAGUGAAGUU